CCUACGGGAGGCAGCAGUGGGGAAUAUUGGGCAAUGGGCGCAAGCCUGACCCAGCAACGCCGCGUGAAGGAAGAAGGCUUGCGGGUUGUAAACUUCUUUUGACAGGGAAGAGGAGAAGACGGGACAUGUCGAAUAAGCCACGGCUAACUACGUGCCAGCAGCCGCGGUAAUACGUAGGUGGCAAGCGUUGUCCGGAUUUACUGGGUGGAAAGGGCGUGUAGCCGGGUUGAAAAGUCAGAUGUGAAAGCCUGCGGCUUAACCGCAGAACUGCAUUUGAAACUGUUGAUCUUGAGUACUGGAGAGGCAGCCGGAAUUCCUAGUGUAGCGGUGACAUGCGUAGCUAUUAGGCGGAACACCAGUGGCGACGGCGGUCUGCUGGACAGCACCUGCCGGUGAGGCGCGAAAGCGUGGGGAGCAAACAGGAUUAGAUACCCUUGUAGUC
rnacentral:rRNA from 1 species